rnacentral:rRNA from 1 species
GACGGGUGAGUAACACGUGGGUAACCUGCCCUUAAGUGGGGGAUAACAUUUGGAAACAGAUGCUAAUACCGCAUAGAUCCAAGAACCGCAUGGUUCUUGGCUGAAAGAUGGCGUAAGUAUCGCUUUUGGAUGGACCCGCGGCGUAUUAACUAGUUGGUGGGGUAACGGCCUACCAAGGUGAUGAUACGUAGCCGAACUGAGAGGUUGAUCGGCCACAUUGGGACUGAGACACGGCCCAAACUCCUACGGGAGGCAGCAGUAGGGAAUCUUCCACAAUGGACGCAAGUCUGAUGGAGCAACGCCGCGUGAGUGAAGAGGGCUUUCGGGUCGUAAAACUCUGUUGUUGGAGAAGAAUGGUCGGCAGAGUAACUGUUGUCGGCGUGACGGUAUCCAACCAGAAAGCCACGGCUAACUACGUGCCAGCAGCCGCGGUAAUACGAU